AUUGAACGCUGGCGGAAUGCUUUACACAUGCAAGUCGAACGGCAGCACGGACUUCGGUCUGGUGGCGAGUGGCGAACGGGUGAGUAAUACAUCGGAACGUACCCAGUCGUGGGGGAUAACGUAGCGAAAGCUACGCUAAUACCGCAUACGAUCUACGGAUGAAAGCGGGGGAUCGCAAGACCUCGCGCGAUUUGAGCGGCCGAUGGCAGAUUAGGUAGUUGGUAGGGUAAAGGCCUACCAAGCCGACGAUCUGUAGCUGGUCUGAGAGGAUGAUCAGCCACACUGGGACUGAGACACGGCCCAGACUCCUACGGGAGGCAGCAGUGGGGAAUUUUGGACAAUGGACGCAAGUCUGAUCCAGCCAUUCCGCGUGCAGGAUGAAGGCCCUCGGGUUGUAAACUGCUUUUGUACAGAACGAAAAGGCUCUGGUUAAUACCUGGGGCUCAUGACGGUACUGUAAGAAUAAGCACCGGCUAACUACGUGCCAGCCGCCGCGGUAA
rnacentral:rRNA from 1 species